AGAGUUUGAUCCUGGCUCAGAUUGAACGCUGGCGGCAGGCCUAACACAUGCAAGUCGAAUGGUAACAGGAAGCAGCUUGCUGCUUCGCUGACGAGUGGCGGACGGGUGAGUAAUGUCUGGGAAACUGCCCGAUGGAGGGGGAUAACUACUGGAAACGGUAGCUAAUACCGCAUAACGUCGCAAGACCAAAGAGGGGGACCUUCGGGCCUCUUACCAUCGGAUGUGCCCAGAUGGGAUUAGCUAGUUGGUGAGGUAACGGCUCACCAAGGCGACGAUCCCUAGCUGGUCUGAGAGGAUGACCAGCCACACUGGAACUGAGACACGGUCCAGACUCCUACGGGAGGCAGCAGUGGGGAAUAUUGCACAAUGGGCGCAAGCCUGAUGCAGCCAUGCCGCGUGUAUGAAGAAGGCCUUCGGGUUGUAAAGUACUUUCAGCGGGGAGGAAGGGGAUGUGGUUAAUAACCGCGUUCAUUGACGUUACCCGCAGAAGAAGCACCGGCUAACUCCGUGCCAGCAGCCGCGGUAAUA
rnacentral:rRNA from 1 species